CAAUAGCGUAUAUUAAAGUUGUUGCGGUAAAAAAGCUCGUAGUUGGAUUUCUACCGAAGAUAGCCGGUCGGGUCUUCGACCUUGUAUCUGGUUUUGUCUUUGGUAUCCUCAUAGGGAACGUUUCUGCGCUUUAUUGCGUGGUGCGGUAUCUAUGACUUUUACUUUGAGGAAAUUAGAGUGUUCACGGCAGGCAAACGCCUUGAAUAUAUUAGCAUGGAAUAAUAACAUAGGAUCUUCGUCCUAUUUUGUUGGUUUCUAGGGCUAAGAUAAUGAUUAAUAGGGAUAAUUGGGGGCAUCUGUAUCAACGCGUCAGAGGUGGAAUUCUUGGAUUGCGCUGCGACAAACUACUGCGAAAGCAUUUGCCAAGGAUGUUUUCAUUGA
rnacentral:rRNA from 1 species